CCUGCCUAAUUUGCUCUGACAGGCUACAACGGCAUGUGUGCAAAGCACUGGGGACACUAGCCUUUACACACUUCAAACAAAAAAUUCAAAUUGUUUUCUUGUGCCACAGGGUGGAGCUGAAAAAAGGCUGCACUCAGCGGGGGCUUUUCAGCCUCGGCCCCCGCAACCUAGGUUUGGACAAACUUUCCCACUGCACCCCGACUCAUUUCUCUUUCUGCGAGGAAUGCAUCUGGGAGGAGUCACUGAACAUUUUGAUUCAAGUAAUUAACUUGAACAAGGCGCACUCUACGAGGAAACCACCCCGUGAGUAACAGAUGUCACAUGGACAUGAAACAUCACUGAAUGGCACCCGGGUCACCAACUUUGAAGGCAGAAGUAAGGCCUCUUUCUCCCAAGCGCACGUUUGCAGGGAGCCACGUCAGCUGUAGGCAAGCGUCCCUGAGUUUCGAGCCAGCAGGUCCCUCUCAUCUGUCCGCCGGCAGGUGAUGAUGCUGUGGUGGUGACGCUGCACAGACCUGGACAGAGGUGUAUUCUAAAACCCAAAGACAAAUAAAAACUUGACAACAGCAUCUCCUUCUCAGAGCUCCCAUGAUUUCUAGAGAUCUGCCUGGUGUCAGGGCAAGAACAGGCAGGCAAAACAGAUAAGACCUGAAGUGCCUUAGCCAAGACACACAGAUGU